rnacentral:tRNA from 7 species
ACUUGUUUAGUUUAGUUGGUAGAGAGUAAGGCUCUUAACCUUCUGGUCAUGGGUUCGAGCCCCAUGGUGGACG